GACGAACGCUGGCGGCGUGCCUAAUACAUGCAAGUCGAGCGGGCCAAACGUUUCCUUCGGGAAACGUGGGGUUAGCGGCGGACGGGUGAGUAACACGUGGGUAACCUGCCCAUAAGACUGGGAUAACAUUCGGAAACGAAUGCUAAUACCGGAUACGCGGUUUGGUCGCAUGGCCGAAUCGGGAAAGACGGAGCAAUCUGUCACUUAUGGAUGGACCCGCGGCGCAUUAGCUAGUUGGUGAGGUAACGGCUCACCAAGGCGACGAUGCGUAGCCGACCUGAGAGGGUGAUCGGCCACACUGGGACUGAGACACGGCCCAGACUCCUACGGGAGGCAGCAGUAGGGAAUCUUCCGCAAUGGACGAAAGUCUGACGGAGCAACGCCGCGUGAGUGAUGAAGGUUUUCGGAUCGUAAAGCUCUGUUGCCAGGGAAGAACGCUAUGGAGAGUAACUGCUCCAUAGGUGACGGUACCUGAGAAGAAAGCCCCGGCUAACUACGUGCCAGCAGCCGCAGUAAAAC
rnacentral:rRNA from 1 species